rnacentral:rRNA from 1 species
GUCCACGCCGUAAACGGUGGGCGCUAGGUGUGGGUUCCUUCCACGGGAUCUGUGCCGUAGCUAACGCAUUAAGCGCCCCGCCUGGGGAGUACGGCCGCAAGGCUAAAACUCAAAGGAAUUGACGGGGGCCCGCACAAGCGGCGGAGCAUGUGGAUUAAUUCGAUGCAACGCGAAGAACCUUACCUGGGUUUGACAUAUACUGGAAAGCUGCAGAGAUGUAGCCCCCCUUGUGGCCGGUAUACAGGUGGUGCAUGGCUGUCGU